UCGAUUCCCUUAGUAGCGGCGAGCGAAACGGGAAGAGCCCAAACCAACAAGCUUGCUUGUUGGGGUUGUAGGACACUCUAUACGGAGUUACAAAGGACGACAUUAGACGAAUCAUCUGGAAAGAUGAAUCAAAGAAGGUAAUAAUCCUGUAGUCGAAAAUGUUGUCUCUCUUGAGUGGAUCCUGAGUACGACGGAGCACGUGAAAUUCCGUCGGAAUCUGGGAGGACCAUCUCCUAAGGCUAAAUACUCUCUAGUGACCGAUAGUGAACCAGUACCGUGAGGGAAAGGUGAAAAGCACCCCGGAAGGGGAGUGAAAUAGAACCUGAAACCGUGUGCUUACAAGUAGUCAGAGCCCGUUAAUGGGUGAUGGCGUGCCUUUUGUAGAAUGAACCGGCGAGUUACGAUUUGAUGCAAGGUUAAGCAGUAAAUGUGGAGCCGUAGCGAAAGCGAGUCUGAAUAGGGCGUUUAGUAUUUGGUCGUAGACCCGAAACCAGGUGAUCUACCCUUGGUCAGGUUGAAGUUCAGGUAACACUGAAUGGAGGACCGAACCGACUUACGUUGAAAAGUGAGCGGAUGAACUGAGGGUAGCGGAGAAAUUCCAAUCGAACCUGGAGAUAGCUGGUUCUCUCCGAAAUAGCUUUAGGGCUAGCCUCAAGUGAUGAUUAUUGGAGGUAGAGCACUGUUUGGACGAGGGGCCCCUCUCGGGUUACCGAAUUCAGACAAACUCCGAAUGCCAAUUAAUUUAACUUGGGAGUCAGAACAUGGGUGAUAAGGUCCGUGUUCGAAAGGGAAACAGCCCAGACCACCAGCUAAGGUCCCAAAAUAUAUGUUAAGUGGAAAAGGAUGUGGCGUUGCCCAGACAACUAGGAUGUUGGCUUAGAAGCAGCCAUCAUUUAAAGAGUGCGUAAUAGCUCACUAGUCGAGUGACACUGCGCCGAAAAUGUACCGGGGCUAAACAUAUUACCGAAGCUGUGGAUUGUCCUUUGGACAAUGGUAGGAGAGCGUUCUAAGGGCGUUGAAGCAUGAUCGUAAGGACAUGUGGAGCGCUUAGAAGUGAGAAUGCCGGUGUGAGUAGCGAAAGACGGGUGAGAAUCCCGUCCACCGAUUGACUAAGGUUUC
rnacentral:rRNA from 1 species